AGAUUGAACGCUGGCGGCAUGCCUAACACAUGCAAGUCGAACGGGAGUAGCAAUACUCUAGUGGCGGACGGGUGAGGAAUACGUAGGAAUUUGCCCUUAAGUGGGGGAUAACCCGGGGAAACCCGGAUUAAUACCGCAUGACCUCGAAAGAGCAAAGUGGGGGAUCGCAAGACCUCACGCUUUUGGAGAAGCCUACGUCGGAUUAGCUAGUUGGUGAGGUAAUGGCUCACCAAGGCGACGAUCCGUAACUGGUCUGAGAGGAUGAUCAGUCACACCGGAACUGAGACACGGUCCGGACUCCUACGGGAGCAGCAGUGGGGAAUAUUGGACAAUGGGCGCAAGCCUGAUCCAGCAAU
rnacentral:rRNA from 1 species